UCAAACGUCCAUACCCCAUACAUGGAAUGCACCGGUUCUCGUCCGAUCACCGAAGUUAAGCAACGUCGGGCGCGGUGAGUACUUGGAUGGGUGAUCGCCUGGGAACACCACAUGACGUUGAC
rnacentral:rRNA from 1 species